GAUCCUCCUAAUGUGUUGCCUCAUUUGUUUUAUGCAUGUGUGAAACACACAAAAAGUAAGGUUUGUUGUAGCAUGUUUCUGUGCUAACCUUGUGUGUAUGUGUGUCAUUCAUUCUUCAAAUAAAAUAAAUUAAAUGUUUGAAUGACAUGAGGGUGAGCAAAUUAUGACAUAAUUUCAUUUCAUUUCAUUUGUUGGGAGAACUAUCCUAAAAGUUUGUCUUUGGUGAUAAAAUAUCUCUUCUUGUCUAUAAUCACAGAUGUGACCGCCAUCAUCUUUGUGGCAGCCAGUAGCAGUUAUAACAUGGUCAUAAGGGAGGACAACAGCACUAACCGGCUGCGCGAGUCUCUUGAUCUGUUCCGCAGCAUCUGGACUAACAGGUUUUUAAGGACCAUCUCAGUGAUCUUAUUCCUGAACAAACAAGACAUGCUGGCAGAAAAAAUUCUGGCAGGAAAAUCCAAACUCGAAGAUUAUUUUCCAGAGUAUGCUCGAUACACUCUUCCUCCUGAAG